UUCCUUGUUGGUCCAAGGAAAAUCCCAAGUAUGAAGUGUCUCUUUGUACUUGUAUUUUUCCUUGGCCCAAUGACUGGAAAAGUCUACUAAUACCCUGUAGUCUGAGGAUAAAAAGGAGGAAUCUGCGCGAGGAAGGGAUCGCGUUUGAUUAUCUAGUUAGUGAGGAAAUAGCUUGCUAAUUCGAUGAUUAGUAGCUGGUCCGAAAGGAUGAUCAGCCCCGCUAGGACUGAGACACGACCAAGACUCCUACGGGAAGAAGCAGUGGGGAAUUUUCUGCAACCACGUGGAGGUAGAAGUCCCACAGGUUAUGAACUUCUUUUCUCGGAGAAGAAGCAAUAAAGGUAUCUAGGGAAUAAGCAUCGACUAAAUCUGUACCAUCAGACGCGGUAAUAUAGAAUAUGCAAGCAUUUUCCAGAAUUAAUGGGCGUAAAGCAUCUGCAUGUCGCUUUUUAAGUAGGCUGUCAAAUCCCAAGGCUUAAACCUAGACAAAGAGUGGAAGUUAUCAAGUUUGAGUAUACUAGGGGUAGAGGACUUUUCGGUGGAGCGAAUAAAUGGGUAGAUAUCGGAAAGAAGACCAACGGCGAAAGCAUUAUAUUGGACCGACAUUGAGAGACGAAAGUUAGAGAAGAGAAUGGUAUUAGAUAAACCCAAUAAUCCUAGUCGUAUACGAUGGAUACUAGGUUUUGUGCGUAUCAACCCAUGCAGUGUUAUAUCUAACGCGUUACGUCUUCCACCUGGAAAGUACGUUCACAAGAAUGAAACUCAAAGAAAUUGAUGGGGCCCCACACAAGAGGUGGAGCAUGUGGUUAAAUUUGAUUCAAAGUGAAGAAUCUUGUCAAGGCUUGAAAUGCUACAAAUCCUCUUGAACGAGAGGGGUUCCUUCCGGAAUGUGGACCUAGGUGGUGCAUGACUGUCGUCAGCUCAUGCUGUAAAGUGUUGGGUUAAGUCCCACAAUGAGUUCCAUCCUCAUGUUUAGUUUCGAUCGUUAAGUUUGGAACCCUGAAAAGAUUGUCGCUGAUAAGCCAGAGAAGGCGAAGAUAACUUCAAGUGAUGAUGCCCCUUAUGCCUUAGGUGACACACGUGCUACAAUAGUUCGGACAAAGGGUCGCAUCCCGCGAGGGUGAGAUAACCCCUAAAACCCUUCCUCAAUUAGGAUUGUAGGCUUCAACUCCUCUGCAUGAAUACGUAAUUUCUCGUAAUCAUCGGUCAACCCUACGAUGAUGAAUUCGUUUCUAAACCUUGUACACACCGCCCAUCACACCAUGGGAGCGGUCAAUGCAUGAAGUUGUUAUCUCAAUCUCAAGAAGAGAAGUGUCGAAAGAUGGGCUAGUUAUUGGAGUGAAUUCGUAACAAAGUAGUCGUAUAGGAAGGUGCUACUA
rnacentral:rRNA from 1 species